rnacentral:pre_miRNA from 1 species
AUUGGUGCUCUAACAACAGCACUGACCUUUCCAUAGUAAUUAGUAAGUGCUAUUUGUUGGGGUAGUUUGA